UACGUAGGCGGUGAUUCAAGUCAGAGGUGAAAGCCUGGAGCUCAACUCCAGAACUGCCUUUGAAACUAGAUCGCUAGAAUUAUGGAGAGGUUAGUGGAAUUCCGAGUGUAGAGGUGAAAUUCGUAGAUAUUCGGAAGAACACCAGUGGCGAAGGCGACUAACUGGACAUAUAUUGACGCUGAGGUACGAAAGCGUGGGGAGCAAACA
rnacentral:rRNA from 1 species